rnacentral:sRNA from 1 species
AAGGCAGCUAUAAAGAUUUGAAGUUCUUUAUCCAUACAACAGGUACUCCAGGGGCAGCAGCAGUGCAGACGUGCCCACACUGGUCCUGCCAGUGUACAUCAGUCCUACCAUGGGAUGUAGAUUGCCCACAGGGUCACCGUCCAUUAUACCCAUUCAGUCUUUGGCCUCU